CAGCUGUUUGCAAGGGAGCUGGAGAGGCCUCUUCCCCCAGACCUUGAAAUUAGGCUUGAGGAACUGCUCCAGAUUGUCCGUAACAAGCAGAACAGCAUGCACCCAGCAAGACUUCCUGUCCUGAAGAGGCACGAUGCGGGCUCGGCACGACUAGGAGGGGCGAGGAAGGAGGGUGCUGGGGUAGUCAGGCUGCACUGGCGGGGGUUGUGGGGGAUGUGUGUGCGUGUGCAUGGGGGUACAUAGCAGAAGUGGGCAGAUUUCAGAAGGGAAACCUAGAGGUGUUUCCUAGAACUGAGAACCUAGAAGUGGCGCGUCCUGGAGCUGCAGAGGUGAACCCGCCUGUAUCUCACCCGUGAUGCGUGGGGCCCAGGAGGACAGGGUUGGUCCACCCAGGGCCAUGUAGCCAUCAGACUUGGGGCCCCAGCUGCUGUGCCAGAAAGAGCUGGGGCCGGGCAGACCCUGAGAAGGGAUGUGAGUGUGCACCUCUGGGCUUCAUGAGCAGCCUCAGCUCGGGUGGAGGGGAGCUUGGCUCCUCAAACCCUCUCCCUGCACAUACAGGCAUGCAUGCACAUACAUACAUGUACAGUGUCCACACACACAUAUGUAUCCACACACGUCCUUGUGCACACAUAGAUCCAUGCACACACAUGAACAUGCCAAGGCAUAUGUGUGUGCACGCACACAUCUAUGUGCAUGCAAGCAUGAACACCCAUACAUACACAUAUCCACACAUGCAUGCAAGCAUGCAACCCAUUCAUGCACACAUGCAUGCACACAUCCACGUACACACUGUCUACAUAUACCAUAAGGAUUCUGCAGUGCAUCCAUGCAUACAGAAUAUGCACACAUGUAUGCACACAUACAUGUUCACAUGCAUGCCUACGUGUGCACACACAUGUCCAUGUACUAUUCACAUGCAGGUGCAUACAUACAUAUGCACUAACAUACAUGUGCUCUUUGCACAUGUAUCUCUACACAUGCAUAUACAUGACACUGGCAUAUGUAGAAAUGUUAUGUACCCAUGCUGUGCACAUACCUGUGCAUACCGCAUGCAUGCACACCCUUGCCUAUGUAGAUAACACAAAUCCAUGCACAUUGCACACACGUUUUUAUGCCUGUGCUGCACACAUCUGUCCCUAUGCAUGACCCCAGUCAUGCAUGUGCACACAUGGGUUCGCACAUAUGGAUGUGUAUGCACAUAUGUGGCACCUGUGGUCUUGCCCACCCUCCUAGGCUGAGGAGAAGAUGUAUUUCUGGGUUUCUGCUGCAGCCAGCUCUUCCAGGGCUGCAGCUGUUUUCUGCAUCGCCUCCCUUGCCUGCACAGCUCCACCUGGCUCUUGGAGUCAGCCCUCCUCUCCAGACUUCGAGGACAUUUCUCACUACCUCCUGUGGACUCUGGGCCUGGCCAUGUGCUGUCCACAGGCCUGGAUGCCCUCUGCCGCACCUUUCCUGGGGCUCUCUUUCUUCAAGCCUUGUCCCAUGAUGUUCCUCCUUCAGGAAGCCUCCCUGACCUCCCAGGCUGGAUCUGGGCCCCUUUUGCUGGCCUCCUGCAUGCCCCGUGGGGUGUGGCCAUCAUCAGUAACCAUGCGUCUCAACUGUGUCCCAUCCCCACUGCCUGGUCCAGGGCCGGGCUCUCAGCUCACAGAAGGAGCUGGAUGAAAGCCUGGUGGCAGGAUGGGUGCCGUGAAGGGCAAAUGGGCUUGUGGGCCUGGCUCCAGCCUCCUUAGCCACACUGAUGCUUGCUGGGUGCUGAGUGCAGGGGGUGCUUUCACCUGGUGGCUGCUUGUGCCAGACCCAGUGACCCUGGCCGACAGGACCUUUUCUCGGUUCCGUGGUGUUUGGGAUCAUCAGAUGUGGCUGCUCAUUCCCUUACUUAUUGUCUGGCAGUGGGGGAGCCUUCUGGCUUCCCGGGCCUCAGUUUCCCCUGUCUGUAAAAUGGGAGCAUUGGACCAGAGCAUUCUGAGGCCCUCGCCAGCCCUGAGCCACCCCCUCCCCCAACUUGGCUGUGAGCUCCUGGGGGUGGGGGUGGCGCCUGCCCAUCUCUGCCCUUGGUUGGUGUCUGCAGGGGAAAGGGAAGAGUCUGGAGUCUGGGCGAGACUGCUCUCCACUCAGCCCUGGUGGGUGUGGGAACUGAGGGAAGCCAGCCCUGUCUUCUUGUCUCAAGACCAAGACCAAGAGGACAUGUUUUCUCCCCGGAGCUGAGCUGAGCUGAGCUGAGCUUUCUUUCCCUAUGUUUAUUUGAAAUUUCAUUUUUAAAGACGAGUCAGGGAAAAAUGAGACUUGCUUCUCUCCCUGCCCCUCCCUGAAGAAUUCCAGAAACUGAUUUGUCUUGUCAGGAUGUGGCAGGGAGCCGUGGCCUGGGCUGGCUCUCUGAGCUGUUGCAUAUUGAUCAGCAUUGAUGGGUUUGGCACAGUCGAGUUCUUACAGAGCUGGCGGAAGUCCCUCUGGAGAAAGAACUGCUUCGGGGACUGGCUUUGAUUUGCAAUGAGUGUAAUAGAUUAAAGCAGUGGGUCAGCAUGUCUUAUUGAGCACCAGCUGUGUACCUCAGCCCUGGCCCUGCUGGGGUCCAAGCUCAGAUCCCUGCCACCCCCCACCCUUUCAGCUGCCACACGGCUUCCUGCGAGCCCCACCUCUUUCCGCCCGCUGCACCUGCUUCAGUCUCCACCUAGCUUCUCCUGCUAGGGGCUCUCUGCUGCCCUCAGCGGCUGCCCCCAGCUGCCUGAGCCUGACAUUCAGAGCCCUCCAGUGCCCAGCCUCAACCGACAGCCCUUCACUGGUUCAGUUGUCACGCAGUCCGCAGACACCAGGGAGCAUCCUCUGCGUGCAGCCCUGGAGAUGCAGAGGUGACGAGGGUAGGGCGGCCUGGAAGACCUCACCUCCUGCUCCACCAUCCUGGGCCUGGGCCUAGCAGGGAGGCUGGCAGUGGGCCUGCUGCCUGGAUUCUGGGUUCGAGCUGGCUGGGUUUUCCUCUGUGACCUUUCCCAGCCUUAGUGGCCACUGUGCAUACUCCCCAGAAUGACAUCUGCAGAGGUCUCAGCCCGGAGCCAUCUGGGCCCUGCCCGUUGCAGGGUGGCUGCAGGAGAGAGGCCACUUGACCCUGUCCCAGCCAAUGAAACCUGCCUGAGGACAAGGGCGAAAUGUGUCAGAAGGCCCACAGCCUGCCUUCCUGCUUGGUAGGGCACAUGUGAGGAUGUGAUGCCCGGAGCAGCAGCAGCUGUCACGUGACCAGGAGGAGCUAAGGAUAAGGAUGAAAACCAUGGAAGGAAAGAGGGGAGGAAGGUUCUGUAACUUGCAGCUGAACAUAUCCAAGCCAUGAGUUGUCCCCCAAGCUCGUGAGUUGUCCCCAGCUCAAUUCUGCCUCCUUUGGAGAGUGAUGUCCCACAGACCCAUGCGACCCUGCAUACCAAAAGGACUUUGCAGACGUGACUGAGGACCUUGCAUCUGGGAGGUGAUCCCCGUGACACCUGUGGACCCAGUGUCAUCAGGGUCCUCGUAAGUGAAAGAGGCGGGAGGGUCCCAGAAGAGGAGGUGUGAUGACAGAAGCAGAGGUCAGAGCGAUGUGCAGACGGGACCAGUGGCUACAGGACGCGGUGCUUCUGGGAGCUGGAGAGGCAAAGAGACAGACUCUGGCCUGGAGCCUCCGGAAGGCACCGGCCCUGCAGACCACUUCAGACUUCUGACCUCCAGCACUGGGAGAGGAGGCUUAGUGUGGUUCUAAGUGGUGGCAUUUGUGAUCAUUUCUCACCGCAGCCACAGGAGAUGGAUGCAACGCCCGCGGGUGUUUGAGGGAUGGAUGAGUGGAAACGUGUGUGGUGGAGGCCACUGCACCGUCAAAUUCCAGACAGUCCCGAGGAAUGCCCGCUGGCAGCCCUGCCUCGGCCGUUGAGUCAUUAUGUGAUCUUGGGCAAAUCUGAGCCUCUGCUUCACCACCUGUGAAUCGAGGGACAGGACUCAGUGGUCUUUCUGGGUCUUUCCAGGCCCCCAAGUCCUGGAGGGCACUGUGGGAGUGUGAGGUGGAACCCGGGAGUCCCGUGGAUGGGUAUCAAAAUGCCAGCCCUGCUAGAUCCAGGCGUGAUGGAGUCUGAUGUGUGGGCACAGGGCCUUGCACAGGCCUGGGCUGGGCAGACUUGCCCAGGAGCCUCGGGCCACUGCGGGAGGAGGACGCAUGGCCAGCAGGUGCCACCAGGAGAGGAGAGGAGGGUCAGGCUGAGCUGCAUCUCAGGACUCCAAGGAGAGCUUGGAGAGGCAACUGAAACUCUGUGCCACCCCCAACGUCUACCCAGCUGUGGGUCCUUGGGCAAAUUGUCUCGUCUGAGUCUCUAAUACUCAACUUUCAGUACUAACUGGGGUACUGUGUACCAAUUGCCUCUGCCAACCCAUCUGUACUGGGCAGCCCUGGGUACCUGGCUUGGGGGAGGGGUGGGCCUGGGGGGGGACCGAUGCCACAUUUCUCUUUAUCUGUCCCUGUAUUGUUUAAUUUGUUCCAAGUGCUUGAGUUACUUUGGCAAAUAAAAACAAUUCUAAUAAAGAGAACUAAGACCUUA